rnacentral:lncRNA from 10 species
UCAUAAUAGAUAGAAAACACCUGAAACCAAUCUGCGGCUUCCCAGUAAGAUCUCAGGAGUGGGGAGAAGUAAUGCAAGAUCCCGGAAGUCGGCCAAUGUAUGAGGCUGCAAGUCAAGAGGUCAAGCUGCGCACUUGGUUUUUCACGUCACCCGCUUAGCCGUCUUCCAAGUUGUACUUUCCUUCUUUUCUUUCCUUUUCUUCCUGUUCUGAAGCUUUUUAAUAAGCUUUCACUCCCGCUCUGAAGUUUGCCACGAUCUCUCCUCUGCCUUAUGCCCCUCAGUUGAAUUCUUUCUUCUGAGAAGGCGAGAGUUGAAGUUGCUUGAGACCUGUAUGGAUUUGCCGCUGAGGUAAAUCAGAUCUCUGCCACCGCUAACACCUUUAUGCACAGAACUUCUGAGGAGAAAGAUGAUUCGAAGAAGAAAUGGCCCUGAAAAUCUGAUGAGUCCCCAGUAGGUGUGGCUGUUUAAAACUGCUUCAUAGGCACUGCUGACAACAAAGUUUUCUCUUCCUCUCAAGAAGUAUAACUGGUUGGCUGGCCUCUGGGAUUGGAUGAGAAUAUUCUUGGCUGAGGAAGUCCUCUAAACCUUUUCAAGUCUAUCAUUCAGAAUGGUCUGAAGAAAACUUACUUCUUUAACAAAAAUGACAUAUU